GUAAGUAUAGUUUAUUCAAAACAUUAAAUUGUGAUUUUAAAAAUAAGGUUUAAAACCCUUUACCUACC
rnacentral:tRNA from 1 species